UCGUUUAAGGCAACGAACGGCAUAACAGGAGCGGGACACGACGCCGAGCAGUUGGGAACCGCCGCGCUUCCAUGGCUACUCCCGCCGUGGAAAGCUUCGCCGUGGCGGCGCUCCGCUCCGUCAUGGUCCGAGUCCGCCAGGCGGCCGAGCGAUCCGGCGCCCGCGCCGGGAGCGUGCGCGUCGUGGCCGUCUCGAAAACCAAGCCGGUCUCUCUGAUCCGCGACGUCUACGACGCGGGUCACCGCUGCUUCGGCGAGAAUUACGUCCAGGAGUUCGUCGAGAAAGCUCCUCAGCUGCCGGAGGACAUCGAGUGGCAUUUCGUGGGGCAUUUGCAGAGCAACAAAGCCAAAGCGCUUCUCUCUGCAGUUCCAAAUUUGGCAAUGGUUGAGGGCGUGGACAACGAGAAAAUUGCUAACCAUCUUGAUCGUGCAGUUUCAAGCCUUGGAAGAAAUCCAUUGAAGGUUUUGGUCCAAGUGAACACCAGUGGAGAAGUGUCUAAAUCUGGUGUGGAGCCUGCGAAUUGUUUGGAACUUGUGAAAUAUGUCAAAUCACGGUGCCCCAACUUGGAAUUUUCUGGCUUAAUGACAAUAGGGAUGCCAGACUAUACAUCAACUCCAGCAAAUUUCAAGACACUUUCAAACUGUAGAACUGAGGUUUGCAAGGCACUAGGAAUCAAUGAGGAGCAAUGUGAGUUGUCAAUGGGCAUGUCCGGUGACUUUGAGCAAGCGAUUGAGAUGGGGAGCACGAAUGUGAGAAUUGGUUCCACCAUAUUUGGCCCCAGGGAUUAUUCCAAGAAGCAACCAAAUUAGUGUGCUCUUUACCUGAUGUGUGGGUAAAUUACAUCGGUCCAUGCAUGUAACCUUAUGGAAAGCAUCUUGGCGAUGCUUCUUAACUUGCUCUACAUGGUAUAUCGUGAUGAUGAUCAUGGAGCUGUAGGUUAUGAUGACAAUCGUGAUCACAUCGAGGACUAAAACGCAUAUUUGUGUAUAUCGUUUACUACAGAAGCUUGAGUAUAUUUUCCAAUACUUCAGAGAACAUGCCGAAGACGGAGACUUUCAGAGAUUAUGUAUUUAUACGCUUAAGCACGAGUAUCGUACUAAGGAUAGCUCGUACGGUUGAAUGAAGUGAAGGAUUUGAACA